rnacentral:miRNA from 13 species
GCUGCAUCCCUUGUGACCUCCG